AAAUUUCACCUGACUGUAAUUGGCCAAUUUAGAGGAUUAGCACUUCGUAGAUUAAGAUCUCCCAACUUUCAGUAUCGUGUUGUUUUCCAGAUUGAGAGAAGAAAGUAAUACCUAGAAGCUGCUGUAUUUCUUUGUUCUCCUAUAGCUGUUGGAGCCUAUUUGUAUAAUAAAGUUCUCCCUUUGUACAUCAAGAGUCAUGGCAUCUUGUGUGUCAUCUAAAUAGAUAGUCAUGGAAACCAGGACUACAUUAAGUAAACUUCAAAUGAUUCCCUGAGUUCUCAGCCUACCAGUGUUCAUGAGUGAUGACAUUUCUACAUUGGCCGUCCCUGCAGACACUGAAGCUACAAUUGGAGAGGUUAGGUCAUUUUGUGCUUUGCUAUAGCUUUUGCUCCAACCUCUGUUGAUGUGUUUUUUUACUGUGAUGGUAGCAUUCCUGUUUGGUGACAACAAUGGGACAUCUCAGUAAAAACCAACCAUAAAUGGAAUAAACUGUCAGAAGUCUUGACAUUAAAGAAACUAGUUUUGAAACAUUUGUGUAUUCUCUUUAGUCUCGUGUUGUAUUCUGGCAGGAAAACUGUUCAACAUUGCCUUCAUGACCCCAGAACUUCAAAUUCCUUUAAUAAUACAGGAAGUUGUUUAUGUUAAAGUGGCCUUGGGAGAUGUUGAAAUUAGGUAGGCUUUUCACUGAGCAAUUAUCAAUGAUUCUUCUUUUAAUGUAGUUAUUUGUUUUGUGUUAAAUUGUUAUUGAUUUCCAAUCGAUAUAAUAGCCAGAAUCUCUUAUAUGAAGAAAAAUGACAUUGUUUCUGUAUCCAUAUUUAAAGUCUUUUUGUGUGUAUGUUUAGACACUCUUGUAUCAACACUUCUUCUGGUUUUACCUACUGUCAGGUUUUUGUAUAUGGGUUGGAUUCUUUACUGUAGGUGUCUGUGACUUUUUGGUGAUAUAUUUCAACAAUAAA